rnacentral:misc_RNA from 1 species
UCUCCGUUGGUGAACCAGCGGAGGGAUCAUUACCGAGUUUACAACUCCCAAACCCCUGUGAACAUACCAUUUGUUGCCUCGGCGGUGCCUGCUUCGGCAGCCCGCCAGAGGACCCAAACCCUUGAUUUUAUACAGUAUCUUCUGAGUAAAUGAUUAAAUAAAUCAAAACUUUCAACAACGGAUCUCUUGGUUCCG